CAGAAUUCUUAUAUUUACAUAAAAAUUCUAUUAAUUACAUCUCCGAAGAGAAAACCCCUGAUUAAGAUUUCUGACAUAUCUAUUACAUGAGAUUGCAACACAUUUCUAUUACAAUAUGCGACAAGAAAAAUCCUCCUCGCGGUCGACGUUGAAGUUUAUCUGCGUAGAUUAUCUCCGACGCCGUUAUUUUUGAUGGUUUGCCAUAUAUUUCUUUAUCAGGCAAUUAUUUUGUUUGUGCUCAACUUCAUUUAUGUUAUGAUUUAAAAUGAAGGUUGAUAUGGUCCAAGCUUGAUUUGGCCCCCUGUUUUCAAGCAUAGGAUGCAUCCAUGCAUUUUAUAUUUAACGCUCAUAUCAUGGAAUUCAUUUCAGAGAACCCCUGCUUGGAGCAUAAUUGUUGUUCUAUGUGGUUGAUGGUUUAUGCCAUGGAAUUCAUUUUGAAGAACCCAUGCCAUGGUAUAAUUGUGCAUUUAUUAUAUGGAUGUUGUAUGUUUUAUAUAUUUUUUGUCAACUUGUGACUUAUGCCGUGGAAUUCGUAUGAAGGAACCCACGAUAUAAGAUACUAUGUAUUUUCUUUAUUUUCUGACUUAUGUCAUGGAAUUCAUAUGAGAAAAACCCAUGAUAUAGCAUAAUUUGUAUUUCCUUUGGUUUUAUGACUUAUGCCAUCGAAUUCAAAUGAGAAGAACCCAUGACAUAGCGUAAUUGUAUAUUUUAUUUGGCUCAUGGCUUAGUCAUUUUAUGUCUCACGUCAUGGAAUUUGUGAGAAAGAACCCAUGCACGAAAUGUACUUUCAUGUCAUGGAAUUCAAAUGUAAGGAACCCAUGCGUAGAGCAUUUUAUGAAUUUUUUCACACAUGGCAUGUCCACGUGAAGAAAAAAAAGUACGUCCUUGAUCCGAACCACAAGGCCGAACCUAAGGGCAUGAUUUGAUGAGUUAUAUGUUCCUUGAUCUGAACCAAAAGGCCGAACCUAAGGAUAUGAUUUGGUGAAUUUUAUGUCCCUUGAUCCGAACCAAACGACCGGACCUAAGGACAUGAUUUGGUGAAUUUUAUGUUCCUUAAUCCGAACCUAAGGACAUGAUUUGGUGAAUUUUAUCUUCCUUGAUCCAAACCAAACGGCGGAACAUAAGGACACGAUUUGGUGGAUUUUAUGUUAAUUGAUCCGAACCAAACGACCGAACCUAAGGACAUGAUUUGGUGGAUUUUAUGUUCCUUGAUCCGAACAAAAGGGCCGAACCUAAGGACGUGAGUUGGUGGAUUUUAUGUUCCUUAUCUGAACCAAACGGCCGAACCUAAGGACGUGAUUUGGUGAAUUUUAUGUUCCUCGAUCCGAACCAAACGGUCGAACCUAAGGACAUGAUUUGGUGGAUUUUAUGUUCCUUGAUCCGAACCAAACGGCCGAAUCUAAGGACAUUAUUUGGUGGAUUUUAUGUUUCUAGAUCCGAACAAACGGCCGAACCUAAGGACUUGAUUUGGUGGGUUUUAUGUUCCUUGAUCCGAACCAAACGGCCGAACCUAAGAACACGAUUUGAUGGAUUUUAUGUUCCUUAAUCCGAACCAAACGGCCGAACCUAAAGACAUGAUUUGAUGGAUUUUAUGUUUCUUGAUUCGAACCAAACGGCCGAACCUAAGGACAUGAUUUGGAAAUGAGGAAGAAGGAAGCUCCCUGGCUUGUACCGCGAUGGGCAAACCAAGGGCUAGAGGAGAACCAUGAAUCUCACCUUCAAACUCCCCAGCAAGUAGGGCGUCCGUCUCCUCCUUCUUUCUAUCCGAUUUGUGUGUGGGAUUUUUAUGGCAGAAUCUGUAUGUGCAGUGUUUCUAUGCAGCAGCAAUGGGAUGAGCAACGAAGUAGCAGCGGCAGCGUUGGAACAAAUGCAGAGGGAGAAAAGGCAGUUGAUCG
rnacentral:lncRNA from 1 species